AUUUUUUCAAAAUUCUCCAUUAUUCUAAACAUUCAUUUCCCGGCACGUAAACAAUAAUUUUCAGUGAAAUUUUUAAACAAGCUUUUAGAGCUUGUCCAAAUUCUCAGUAAAGAAUCGCAGCUUGCUAAAUGAUUCCAUAAUGAAUAAUGGUGCGCAUUCUAUUCGCAAAUUUCUAAGAAAAUAUUUCAAUUGCUUCUCUUUGCAACAACAUGUUGGCGCAGACGGUGCCUACACUCCGCCCGCACUGACUCACGUCUACGGUCAAGGCGAUAUUUCACCACCGAUCUUCGAACAAAUUUUCAAGAAUGCCCGUUUCGCUCAGGGCGGCAACGCCCUGUUCGAGGGCAAACUCCGUGGCAAUCCAAAGCCAUUCGUUUCUUGGACCCGAAAAGGCGCACCACUUCUCGAGUCGCAAAAGUUUCGUAUGAGCUACAAUGAGGCCACCGGUGAAGUGUCGCUAUUGAUUAAUCAAAUCGGACCGGGUGAUGAAGGUGAAUACACGUGUACGGCACGUAAUCAAUAUGGCGAGGCCAUAUGUAGUGUUUACAUUCAGCCAGAGGGUGCACCAAUGCCUGUACUGCAGCCUGUGCAAAAAUUCGAAAAGUCAUUGUAUACCAACGGCUAUUCGUAUACUUCCGUCGAGGAGGAGUUCCGUGUCGAUACAUUUGAGUAUCGUUUGCUACGUGAAGUGCAAUAUCGUGAAGCUAUUACACGUCGUUCGGCAUACGAGCAGGACCAAUAUUUGACGCAAGAAUUGGAUCGUACCAUGGGUCCAGCACAUGCGCCACAAAUUAAUCAGAAACCACGCAACUCGAAACUUAUUGAAGGUUCUGAUGCUGUUUUCAGCGCUAAGGUUGGCUCUAAUCCCAAGCCACGCCUAACUUGGUUCCAUAAUGGACAACGUCUGGUAGCAUCGCAAAAAUAUGAGACCACUUAUUCCAGUGGUAUAGCAACGUUGCGUGUUAAGAAUGCCACCUACCAGGAUGCUGGUCAUUAUACACUGCUCGCCGAGAAUACACAAGGUUGUGUAGUCUCCUCGGCCGUUUUGGCUGUCGAACCAGCUACCGAAACCGCACACGAACCGAAGCCAGUCGAUGUGACGGCUGAGCAAUUGGAAGCUGGUAAAGCCUUACCACCCGCUUUUGUCAAGGGAUAUACUGAUCGCGAGGUCACCGAGGGACGCAUGACACGUUUCGAUUGUCGUGUAACUGGUAAUCCCUAUCCUGAGGUUAUUUGGCUUAUCAACGGUCGUCCAGUCAAAGACGAUGUGUCACAUAAAAUACUUGUCAACGAAUCUGGUAGCCACUCGCUGAUGAUUACCAGUGUUAGCCGUUUGGAUACUGGCGCAGUACAGUGUUUGGCCCGCAAUAAGGCUGGUGAAGUUGCCAUCGAAGCGCAAUUGAAUGUGUUGGAAAAGGAGCAAGUUGUCGCACCACAGUUUGUUCAACGCUUCAGCACAAUGACCGUACGUGAAGGUGAACCCAUUACCAUGAGCGCCAAUGCCAUUGGCACACCCGUUCCACGUAUUACAUGGCAAAAGGACGGUGUGCAGAUUACAUCGACUGCUGAACGUUAUAUCGGUAUUGAUGGUGGCGCUACAUGCUUGGAAAUUCCACGCGUUAAAGCCACCGAUGCCGGCUGGUAUCAGUGCACAGCACAAAAUAUUGCCGGUUCGUCUGCGAAUCGUGCUAGACUCUAUGUAGAAGUACCUAGAGAACAACCAACUCCUGAGCAAAGACGUCUCAAUUUGCCGCGACCAACGAAAGUCAUCGAACCAGAGCACGUGCCUGGUCCAGAGAUAAUUUACUUACGUCAUGUAGAACGCGCAAAGCCACACUUGCGCCCUGGUGAGGAAGAUCGUGUCUACCCACCACCACAAUUUAUUAUACCAUUGCAAAAUGUGCAACAAGUCGAGGGUAAUAGAGUGCAUAUGGAGGCACGCAUCGAACCAGUUGGUGAUCCAACUAUGGUCGUAGAAUGGUACCUAAACGGGCAACCAUUGGCAGCAAGCUCACGCGCUACCUCUGUAUUUAAGUUUGGUUUCAUAGCGCUCGAUCUUUUGAGCAUUAUGACACACGACUCCGGUGAGUACAUGUGUCGCGUCACCAAUGCGGCCGGUGUUGCCGAAUCCCGUGCAAUUCUCUCUGUCAUCCAACGUCCCUCUAUCGAGCAAAGCUCUCAGAAUCCAAAUAGUUUGCAAUAUAUCAAUCAGUUGGAGGAUUACUCGCGCUAUCAGCGCCAGGAGAGCUCUGAGGAACUCAUGAAGCAAGCUCCCGUAUUUAUUCGUCCAUUAAGAGAUUUGGGCGAAUUUGAGGAGGGUAAAAAUGUGCACUUUGAAGCUCAAAUUACGCCGGUUAAUGAUCCCACCAUGCGUGUUGAAUGGUACAAAGAUGGCCGUCCAAUAACUGCUAGCUCGCGAAUCACUGCAAUCUUCAACUUCGGCUACGUCUCCCUAAACAUCUUGCACCUACGGGCUGAAGAUGCUGGUUCGUAUACAGUGCGUGCAGUUAAUCGCGUGGGCGAAGCCACAAGUACUUCGAACAUUCGUGUGAUUAUACGUUCCGAAGUAACCGCCGACUUGGGCAUACCCGAACAACAACGUUAUAUUGAGAAGGUUGAAGAGCUGGAAGACUAUAGGAAAUCUCAGCAACGUCGUCAUGUACAGGAGGUGCCUGAACCAAUUGCACCACCACAAUUCAAAAGUCCAAUCCAAAAUCAAUUGGACAUACGUGAGGGCGCACACGCUCACUUUGAGGCACGUCUUGAGCCCAUCGGUGAUGCUACUAUGCGUGUGGAAUGGCUGAAGGAUGGCCAGCCACUAGAAGCUAGCUCACGUAGCACAACCUUCUUCAACUUUGGCUAUGUUGCACUAACCAUUAAGCAACUGACAAUUUACGAUGCCGGCACUUACACUUGCCACGCUUACAAUGCCAUCGGUCAAGAUACAACCACCGCACAAUUGACCGUUCUUUCAAAGAAGGAUAUCGUCUCCGACUCUCAACAUCCCGGUGGUUUGGAAAAGCUACAGCACUUGGAGGACUCAACGCGUUACGGACGCACUGAGGAAGAAGAGACCAAGGUUACACAAAUUCCACGCUUCCUUGGUCCAAUGAAGGGCACCAACAAAAUUUUGGAGGGCCAGCGAGCUCACUUCGAGGCACGCGUUGAGCCACAAAGUGACCUUAGCUUGCAAAUUGAAUGGUAUCACAAUGGGCGUGCCAUUAGCGCAGCCACACGUAUACAAACCUACCACGACUUUGGUUAUGUGGCUCUAGAUAUCUCACAAGUACGUGCCGAAGAUGCAGGCGUGUACACUGUUGUAGCCAGAAAUAAGUUAGGUGAAGCACAGUUGCAAGGAACAAUGGUAGUAGAAACUCGUUCCAGCAUAGACACAUCUAGCAUGCACCGCGGUCUUUACGAAAAGACUCAAAACUUAGAAAACAAACCAUUUGUUGAACCUCACUAUGACAUCGAAGAGAUUUCCAAGUCGAAGCCGAUCUUCGUGCAACCACUCUCCGAUCACAAACCGAUUCACGAAGGCAAAAAUAUACAUUUGGAAUGCCGUCUGGAGCCAAUGGGUGACCCAACUAUGCGUGUUGAGUGGUUCCACAAUGGCCGCCCCAUUACCGUAGGCUCACGCUUCCGCACCUACUACGACUUCGGUUUCGUCGCAUUGGAUAUUGUACAGGCCAUCGCAGCCGACUCGGGCGAAUAUACCUGCCGCGCCACAAAUCAUUUGGGCUCAGCGCACACCUCUUCCUGUGUACGUAUUAUUGAUCGCUCGGAUGUUGUGACCGAAACACAAAACGAAAUGUCACUGGAGCAAAUACACCAACUGGAAGACUCGACACGUCGUCGUCAUCAUGUCGAAGAAGACAUCACUGUUAUGCAGGCGCCACAAUUCACACGUGCACUGCAUAAUAUCGAAACUGUUGAGGGCACCAAUGUACAUUUGGAAUGCCGCUUGCAGCCGGUGGGUGAUCCCAGCAUGCGCGUUGAGUGGUUCGUUAAUGGUAAACCCAUUAAAACCGGUCAUCGUUUCCGUCCAGCAUAUGAGUUUGACUAUGUUGCGCUCGAUUUGCUCGGCUGCUAUGCCGUUGAUUCAGGUGUGUAUACCUGCCAGGCACGUAAUCAGCUUGGUGAAGCCGUUACCUCAUGCUCAGUACGCAUUAUUGCUAAGAGCGAUCUAAUCUUGGAGACACAGAACGAAUCUGGUCUACAGAAGAUUGCUUAUUUGGAAGAUUCAUCACGUUAUCGCCGUAGCGAAUUUGUUGAUGAGAUAGUUAAUGUGCGUCCACGUUUCCUAACACACCCCAAGAGUCUGACCAAUACACGUGAGGGUGGUCAUGCUCAUUUCGAAUGUAAAAUCGAACCUGUCACCGAUCCGAACUUAAAGGUUGAGUGGUUUAAGAAUGGUCGUCCCAUCACAGUUGGUCAUCGCUUCCGUCCCAUCCAUGACUUUGGUUAUGUAGCUUUGGACAUUGUUGAUUUAAUUUCUGAGGAUUCUGGUAUUUACACUUGCCGUGCCGUCAAUUUGAUUGGCUCCGAUGAGACGCGGGUAGAAUUGCAAUGUCGCAGCAGUGAACAAAUUGUUACUGUUACACAAAAUGAAGCCGGUCUCGAGCAGAUCCAUUAUUUGGAGGAUCGUUCGCGCUAUUCACGUCGUGAAGAAAUCGAUGAAACCACCAAACAAGCGCCAGUCUUUACCACUUCCCUAAAGAAUGUCGAAAUCAAGGAAAAUCAACGCGCACAUUUCGAAUGUCGUUUGAUUCCGGUGUCGGAUCCAACAAUGCGUGUCGAAUGGUAUCACAAUAACUUGCCAUUGAAAUCUGGCUCGCGCUUUACUGAAACCAACAACUUCGGUUUCGUAGCUUUGGAUAUUAUGUCCUGUUUGCCCGAGGAUGCCGGCACUUACACUUGCCGUGCAUUCAACGCUGUCGGUGAAGCCAUAACCUCAGCUGUCGCUAUUGUUCACACCAAAAAAUCCAUCUACUUGGAAUCGCAACAUGAGAGCGCUCUGCCACGUCUACAACAUUUGGAAGAUGGCGCUAAACGUCAACGCAUCAGCGUACAAGACGAGGUUGUUAACCAGGCACCAGUUUUUACUUUGCCUGUGCGCGAUGUACGCGUCGCCGAAGGUCAAGCUGUACACUUUGAAGCACGCUUGAUACCUGUUGGUGAUCCACAUCUGAAGGUUGAAUGGUUGCGAAAUGGACAACCCAUUGAAGCUUCAAACCGUACCACCACAAUGCACGAUUUUGGUUAUGUUGCUUUCAAUAUGAAAUAUGUGAAUCCCGAAGACUCAGGCACUUACACUUGCCGUGCUGUAAACGAACUCGGCCAGGCUGUUACCUCAGCUUCGCUCAUUGUACAAUCGAAGACUUCGAUUCAAAUGGAAACUCAACAUGAGGCGGCUAUGCAUAAGAUACAUCAGCUAGAAGACCACACCAGGUAUCAACGCCGCGAAGAGGAAGAAUAUGUGGUUAGCCAACCACCACGUUUUGUCACGAAACUAAUUGGUCCCACCAACUUGGUUGAAGGUCAGAGCGCGCACUACGAAUGCCGCAUUGAACCAUAUCCCGAUCCCAAUCUCAAAGUGGAAUGGUUCCACAACGGCAAGGCGUUGAGCACAGGUCAUCGCUUCCGCACCACUUACGACUUUGGUUUUGCCGCUUUGGAUAUCCUUACCGUUUAUGCUGAAGAUAGUGGCGAAUAUACGUGCCGUGUUACCAACAACUUGGGCGAAGCUGUCAACUCUAUUAACCUCAAUGUACAAUCGAGGUCAGGCAUCAUUCGCGAAACACAACACGAGGAAGCUUUGCAAAAGAUCCAGCACUUGGAAGAUGAGUCGCGCUAUCAACGCAAGGUCGAAGAAGAUCAAUUCCUGGCCGAACGUCCACAAUUCGGACGUCCACUGCGCAACGCAAAUGUCAAUGAAGGCACACCCGUACAUCUGGAAGCCACCUUAACACCAGUUAAUGAUCCUACCAUGAAAGUGGAAUGGUAUUGCAAUGGCACGCCCAUUCAAACUGGUCAUCGUUUCAAGACCACAUACGAUUUCGGCUUCGUCGCUUUAGAUAUUUUAUAUACACAUGCUGAAGAUACAGGCACUUACAUGUGCAAGGCUAAGAAUGCCGUAGGGGAAGCUGUCACGACUUGUGCUGUAAACGUAACAGCAAAUAAGACAUUGGACUUCGACACUAUGGAUGCCCAGCGUUUGGAGAAGAUUCGUCAACUUGAGAAUUAUGCACCACCUACUAAAGCCGUUGUGGAAGAAAAGGGUCAGAAACCAAUAUUCUUAACUCCGCUCAGCAACUUGGAACAUCUCAAGGAAGGCGAACAUGGUCAUCUGGAGUGUCGUGUCGAACCAAUUAAUGACCCUAACUUGAAGAUUGAAUGGUUCUGCAAUGGCAAACAAUUGCCAACUGGUCAUCGCUUUAGAACUACACACGAUUUCGGUUAUGUCGCUUUGGAUAUAUUGUAUGUCUAUGGGGAAGAUACUGGCACCUACAUGUGCAAAGCCACCAAUUUGCUUGGUGAGGCUGUCAACACCUGCAAUGUGCGUAUAUUGAACCGACGCAGCAUGAUUCUGGACACACAACAUCCAGAUGCUUUGGAGAAAAUCCAAAAAUUGGAGUCCAAGUCGGCACCGGCACGCACUGAACCUGGCGAUUUGCCUAUCGGUCCACCGCACUUCACAGUCGAACUGCGCGGCACCACCGAGAUCUUUGAAGGUCAAACUGCGCAUUUUGAGGCACAGGUUGCUCCCGUUCAUGAUCCCAAUUUGCGCAUUGAGUUCUAUCACAAUGGCAAACCACUGCCAUCGGCUUCACGCUUCCACAUUACUUUCGAUUUCGGUUAUGUUUCAUUAGAUGUCACACAUGCUGUGCCAGAAGAUGCUGGUGAAUACUCUGUACGUGCUAUCAACAAUAUGGGUCAAUGCGUUUCUUCGACUAGCUUGAAAGUCAAUGCACGUGGCACUAUUAUUUCGGAAACUCAACAUCCUGAAGGUUUGGAGAAAAUUCGUAAACUCGAAUCGAAUGCUCCAUUCCAACGUCCCGAAGUAGAAACACCUGGCACCCGUCAACGCCCAGUGUUUACUCAACCACUGCAAAAUAUCGAUCGCAUUAAUGAACAUCAAACUGCACACUUCGAAUGCCGCCUUAUACCGGUUGGCGACCCAAAUCUGAAAGUGGAAUGGUACCGCAACGAGAAGAUCAUCGAGGAUAGCUCGCGCAUCACCAAACAACAUGACUUCGGUUUUGUCUCUCUGGAUAUUUCCCAUAUUCGCAAAGAAGAUGAAGGUGUCUACAUGUGUCGCGCUGUUAACCCAUUAGGUGAAGCAGUCACUACCGCUUCUAUGCGUGUAGUUUCCGAAGCCUCCAUCCAAAUGGAUACCCAACAUCCGGAUAGUAUCAGCCGUAUUCAUCAACUUGAACGCCCAUCAGUACCACGUGCUGAAGAACCAGAGCGUGCUUUCGAGAAACCAAUAUUCACGCAAUUGCUUACUGGCCCAUCUGAGUUAUGGGAGGGUCAACAUGCACACUUCGAGGCACGUGUUGUACCAGUUGGUGAUCCAUCACUGAAAUUCGAAUGGUAUAUCAACGGUGUUGAGCUGCAAAUGGGCUCACGUCUGCGCACCACACACGAUUUCGGUUUCGUUACACUCGACAUUAACGCAGUGGUACCUGAGGACGCUGGUGUAUACAUGUGCCGCGCGUAUAACGCUGCCGGUGAAGCCGUCUCCUCUACCGCUAUGAAAGUUAAAACUAAAGCUAACAUUGCCGGCGAACCUUUGAUUCCCGAAUCGUGGGAAGCCAUUCGCCUGAAGGAGGCGUCCAUGAAUCGUGUGCCAGAAAUGUUUGUAGACACAACACCACAACAGGCACCAGUCUUCACUACACACUUACAAAGCUACGAUAAGCUCUCAGAAGGACAACAUGUACUGCUCGAAGCUCAAGUUGAGCCACGUGCCGAUCCAAACUUGCGUAUUGAAUGGUUCAAAAAUGGUAUUUCACUUACCACCGGUUCUCGUAUACGCAGCACUUUCGACUUUGGCUUGGUUACACUAUCGGUUAAUGGAUUACGUGCGGAUGACUCCGCCAUUUACACUUGCAAGGCCACGAACCAAAUCGGUGAAGCCGUAUCGACAUGCAGCCUUAAGAUUGAAGAUCGUCAUUGGUUGCAAGGUGAGUCGCUACAUCCAGACUCUCUGUCGCGUAUUGGAGAAUUGGAAGCACCCAAACCAGGACGCCCUGAGGCUCCAGAACCUGCUUAUGAAGUGCCUGUGUUCACUACUCAUUUGAAUAAUAUCGAAUGUAAGGAGGGUGAUAAUGUACGUUUCGAAUCGAUGGUCGAACCCUCCCGUGACCCAACGAUGCAAAUCGAAUGGUCCUACAAUGGACAACCACUACAAGCUGCCGCUAAAUUUAAGUCAAUUUAUGACUUCGGCUACUGUGCUUUGGACUUAUCGAAUACCUAUCCAGAGAAUAGUGGUGUCUACACGCUCAAGGCAACAAAUAGCAAAGGUUCAGCCACCACAUCUGGCACACUCAAGUGCACAGGCGGUAAGACCUUUUUCUUGGAUACCCAACAUCCACAAGGUGAAGCCGGUUUGGAGGCUGUGAGGGAAACUGAAGAAGAAUUGGCCAAUCGUUAUUCACGCCAAGUUUCGAAACCCGAAACCCAAUAUCCAGCGCCGAUUUGGACGAAACCAUUGCAAGCUGAGUUCCAUCUUUCAGAGGCACAAUCCUUGCAUUUGGAGGGUAAUGUUGAACCUAAAGAAGAUCCUAACCUCUUCAUUGAAUGGUACUUCAACGGCAAGAUUCUACAACAUGGCUCACGUUUCAAGAUGACUAGUGAAUUCGGUUUCGUCACUAUGGACUUAACUGAAGUAUACGAACGCGAUCAAGGUAUUUACACUUGCAAGGCAUACAAUAAGGCCGGCGAAGCCUUUACCACCACCACCAUUUUCUGCACCAGCAAGGAAAGCAUUAUCGAGAAGACACAGCAUCCAAAGGGUGCCGAAGGUUUGGAACAAAUUCAAGAUUUGGAAGAGUCACUCCGUAAGGAUGGCACAAAACCAGAGAAACCAGAAGAAGGUAUGGCUCCACGCUUCACCACCGAAUUCAUUGACAUCAAGGAUGUUGGUGAGGGUGAGAUUGCGCACUACGAAGCCAAUCUUAUACCGACUGGUGACCAAAGUAUGGUCAUUGAGUGGUUCUACAAUAGUAAAGUUUUGGAGGCUAGUCAUCGUGUACGCACCAUCUAUGCUUUCGGCAUGGUCGCUUUGGAAAUUCUUGGUACCAAGAUUGAAGACUCAGGCACCUACACUUGUCGUGCAACCAAUAAAUAUGGCAGCGCCGAAAUUAGCUGCGUUUUGGAAUGUGUUGAGAAGCCACGUGGACAGAAACCACGUUUCACUUCACACAUCCAAUCAUUGGAAGGACUCAAGGACGGACAGUCGGCUCACUUCGAGUGCACACUCAUACCAGUCAAUGAUCCUGAACUUAAAGUUGAGUGGUAUCACAAUGGUAAACUUUUACGUCACUCCAACCGCAUCAAGACCGUAUCCGAUUUCGGCUAUGUUGUUUUGGAUAUUGCUUAUUUGCAAGACCACGACAGUGGUGAGUACAUGUGCCGCGCCUACAAUAAGUAUGGUGAAGAUUUCACACGCGCUACACUCAACUGCGGUGGUCGUGGUGGCGUCUUCUAUGACAGUUUGCAGCCCGAUUCACUGCCAAGAAUUCGUGAACUUGAAUGUCCACAAGGACAACAGGGCGAUACCAGUGCACCAGUGGUUGCCGAACCACCCAAAUUUAUUACACAAAUUGCGGAUAUCACAAAACUGGUUGAGGGACAGAGUGCGCACUUUGAAGCACGUCUUACACCAGUCACCGAUCCAGAUCUUAAGGUCGAAUGGUAUUUCAAUGGUAAAAAGUUACCACAUGGUCAUCGUUUCCGCACUUUCCACGAUUUCGGUAUUGUAAUAUUGGACAUUUUGUACUGUUACGAAGAAAACUCAGGUGUAUAUGAGUGCCGCGCCGUCAAUAAGUACGGCGAAGACGUAACACGCGCCACACUGAAGUGUACUUCCAAGGCCAACUUGAUUCUGGACUCACAACUGCCACGCGGCAUGGAAGGCGGUUUGGAGAAGAUCGCUAACCUGGAAUACAGCAUGGUUCGUACACGCGACGAAACUGUUGAAGAGAGCAAGGGCAAAGCACCUGUUUUCACCGUACCACUCGAAAAUAUCGACAAUCUGCGUGAAGGUGAGAAUGCUCACUUCGAAGCACGCGUCACACCGACCGACGAUCCACGCUUGCGCGUUGAAUGGUUCUGGAAUGGACGUCCACUUAAAGCUGGCUCACGUUUCCGCACAUUUUGUGACUUCGGUUUUGCCAUUCUGGAGAUCUCGCCUGUUUAUCCCGAGGACUCUGGCGAAUAUUCUUGCCGUGCUAUCAACGAAUACGGUGAGGCUGUGACCACUGCCACCAUGAAGAUACAAGGUAAACGUAGCAUUAUUAUGGAAUCUCAACUGCCCAAGGGUAUGGAGGGUACCAUUGAUCGUAUUGCCGAACUUGAGGGUCUCGGUGGGCGUAGCACAGAAUUCGUGCCCGAAGAUGAUAGUGGCAAGCCACCAGAAUUUAUUACAACACCUUUUGAUAUGGUCAUCACUGAAAAUUCGCUGGCGCACUUCGAAUGCCGCUUGCAACCGGUUAAUGAUCCAAGCAUGCGCGUCGAUUGGUUCCACAAUGGUAAAGCUUUGUGGGCUGGUUCGCGCAUCAAGACAAUCAAUGAUUUCGGUUUUGUGAUUUUGGAAAUUGCCGGUUGUUAUCAACGUGAUAGUGGUUUGUAUACUUGCAAGGCCACCAAUAAACAUGGUGAAGCGACAGUUUCAUGCAAACUGCAAGUAAAAGGCCGUCAAGGCAUCAUUGUUGAACCACAAUUGCCUUCAAACUUCCGCACAGGCACCGAAAGCUUGCAGAAAUUGGAGGAGAGUAUGCAUAAACGUGAAGAAAUCAUCAUCGAUGAGGAGCAACCAAAUCCACCUAAAUUUACUGAGGAUAUUAAGGAUAACCUCGAUGUGCCCGAAGGUGGCCCAAUACACUUCGAUUGCCGUGUUGAACCAGUUGGCGAUCCAACAAUGCGCAUUGACUGGUUCUACAAUGGACGUCCUAUGCCCACUGGCUCUCGUGUACAUCAACUAAACGAUUUCGGCUUUAUCGCUUUGGACAUCGAUUACAUUUAUGUACGUGAUGCUGGUGAGUACACUUGCCGCGCUACCAACAAAUGGGGCACAGCUACCACCACUGCCAAGGUUACUUGCAAGAGUAAGCAUAGCAUUGUGUACGAUACACAAUUGCCUGAUAGCAUGACCGCCGAAAAGUUGAAGGAACUCGAACGUGGUCGCAUACCCGAUGUACCCAGGAUUGAGGAACCCGAUUUCGGUCCACCAGAAUUCAUUACGGAAAUUCAAAAUGUCACUGCUGAAGAAUCUGAAGCUAUGCGCUUCGAAUGCCAAGUGGAACCGAAGACCGAUCCCAAUUUACGUGUGGAAUGGUAUCGCAAUGGCAAGUUAUUACCAAGCGGUCACCGUUAUAGAACUAUUUUCGAUAUGGGCUAUGUAUCGCUCGAUAUUCUCUAUGUUUAUUCUGAAGACUCUGGCGAAUAUGUUUGUCGUGCGGUGAACAAACACGGCGAGGCACGCACCAAGGCGACAGUUUCAUGCAAGAAACUACCAACAAUUAUGCUGCAAAACCAAGUGCCACGUGGCAUGAAACGCAAUGAAACACUCACUCAAAUGGAGGCCACCAUUAAGAAAUAUACUUCAGAGGUGCAUUUGACUGAGGAUGAUCUCUUCGAUCCGGAUCGUAAGCAACCACCUCGUUUCGUUACACAAAUCAAGGAUCAGACCUCGCUUACCGAGAUGGCAACCACCAAAUUUGAAUGUCAAUUGGCGCCAGUUGGUGAUCCAAACAUGAAGGUUGAAUGGUUCUUUAACGGCAAGCCAUUGUUGUACAAGAAUCGCUUCCAACCCAUCUACGAUUUCGGUUAUGUAGCCAUGAACUUUGGCUGGGUCUAUCCAGAGGACAGCGGUGAAUAUGUGUGCCGUGCGACCAAUCUCUAUGGCAAGGAUGAGACUCGCGCUUUCAUUAAGGUCUCUGGCAAGCCUGGCAUUGUCUAUGACUCACAGCUGCCAGCUCAUAUGCAGGAGACAUCUAUUCAGCGCAUACGUGAAAUGGAAGCUUCGUGGCAAGUCGUACCAGAAGAGGUCGAUCCUGAUGCAAAACCAAGAGCCAAACCGACUUUCGUUAGCAAAUUGGAACCACAGACCGUUGAGGAGGGCGAACCCGCACGUUUCUGUGUACGCGUAACUGGCCAUCCACGUCCCAGAGUUAUGUGGCUCAUCAAUGGACACACCGUUGUGCAUGGCUCACGUUACAAACUAACGAACGAUGGAAUGUUCCAUUUGGAUAUUCCAAAAACACGACAAUACGACACAGGCAAAGUGGAAGUGAUCGCUAGAAAUUCCGUUGGUGAAUCGAUCGCCACCACCGAACUGAAUGUGGUCGAACGUUCAGACGAUUAUCGCGGUGUAUUGAAGAAUUCACCACGUCGUAAGUACACGCUGGAUACCUUAUGUACAUUUACUUACAUAGCACUACAGAAAUUAACACAACUACUCUUAGCUUUUCUAAUACGAAAUUAGUUUAUAAAAAAAAUAUAUAAAAAAACAUAUAUUUUUUUAAACACUAGACUAGUCAGUUAUGCACUCCAAAAACAAUAACAAAAAGACUUUUAUAAAUAUAUAUACCUAUACUUAUAUACUUUACUUAUAUAUGUAUAUAUACGCAUUUAUUUUUCGAUACUCACAAACGAAUGUAGUUUAUAGGUGUUCUCUUUUAAAACAAAUUCAAAUUUACUACUUUUUCAAUAACAAAAAAUACAUUAAGCAUUGUAUAUAUACAUAAACAUUUUCACCACUGCCACAACCAAAACUACCACUGUAACCAUAUUUUAUUAUACCAAAAUACACGCUAAAAAUAUAUUUAAAGCAUUAGGUAAUCGUAAAUUUUAAAGUUAAACGCAUAUAGGAGAUUUUUCAAAAUGAUAACGGUACAAAACCAGCAUUAUUUCAAAACCUUUCAAUUACAAACUUAAGACUCUUUCCAAGUCCACAAACAAUUAUUGCAUUUGUGAUACUGAAACAAUACUUCAGAGUACAACCACGACCUUACUUAUUUUGUUCUAAAACAAUUUUAAAAUAUUUCCGAACAACUCGACACAAAUUUUCUAUAUAAGACUUAUAUAUACUCUAUACAAAAAAUAUUUAUUUCUAAAUAUCGUAUAAGACAACUCAAAACUCCAAUUUAAUACUCACUAACGAGUUCCUUUUUACGGUGGUUCUCUCGACAAAAAAUACAACACCAAAACCCAAAGCUUAAGCAAUAUUUCAACAAUUUUCGAAACAGCGAAAUCUAGUUAGAUAUUAUUUAAAUAUUUACAUGCACACUCAAAACCUUAUGAUAUACCCAAUACCUGAAAACAAUCCCUAUUCAUACCUAUUCCCCUCCUAAAUGCCAAAUAUCCUGACAUUCCUUCUCCGAGAAAAUCCACAAAAAAUCACACAUCCAAGCUGCUUUCUAUCCACGAAGUACUACCACUCCAGCCUGCUGACGCUUUUGGAUGAGCGCAACGUCUAUAGCUGACUUAAUGCGGAGUUUCGAUGCAACGCUAAGCUUGGUAUGAUUAUGAGCUAACUGCUUAUCAGAAAGAACGUCAAGAAACUGAGCUGGAGAAGAUAUUUGAUGAGCGCAAACAAUAUUUGGCCGAUCAAGGUAAACCUCUAAAGGGUGUCGAACACCUGAAACCCAAGCAAAUCAAAACCGAAACACCCGACUGGCAACAAACCGUCAAUGCCAAACGCAGCGAGGAUUACUAUAGUAAAUUGCAAGAACUAGAAACCGAGCAAUUGCUGAAGGAGACCAAUUUGCGCAAGGAAACACAUCAAUAUGCGAUACCUGGCGAGAAAGUUGUGCAGAGUUCUGCUGCCAAGGGCAUGGCCAAGUCCUACGAGGACAAUCUGGAAGAGCAAUCCACAACAACAACAACAGCUGCUAAGAAGGUUGUAAAGAAACCACCAGUUGAACCUGCUGAAUCGUCGGUGCAUGGACGCGAAGUGAUCAUGAAUAAACAACAACAAACACAGAAGGAAGUUGUUGGCGAUUUGGAAAUUACACGCAAGAUUACUGCUACCGAAACUACGGAAAUGGAGCAUAAGGGCACCGUGCAGGAGCGCGUUGUCAAGGGACCCGUACAACCCUCGAAACCACCAGUGUUCACCAAAAAGAUACAACCAUGCCGCGUGUUUGAAAACGAGCAGGCCAAAUUUGAGGUCGAAUUCGAUGGUGAACCAAUGCCCACCGUCAAGUGGUACCGUGAAAACUUCCCCAUCAAGAAUUCACCAGAUUUACAAAUUCACACCUUCAGCGGUAAAUCCAUACUGAUCAUACGACAGGUGUUCGUCGAAGACUCGGCCGUAUUCUCAUGUAUUGCCGAGAAUCGUGGAGGCACUGCUAAGUGCAGCGCCAAUUUGGUGGUCGAGGAACGUCGUCGUGCCGGCAAAGGUGGCCUAACACCACCUAGCUUUGUGAAUGUGAUUCAAAGCACCACUGUUUCUACUGGACAAUUGGCACGUUUCGACGCCAAGGUAACCGGCACACGACCAAUGGAUGUCUAUUGGUUGAAGAAUGGACAGAAGGUACAGCCAAGCAUUAAAUUUAAAAUGCUUGAAGAGGACAAUGUUUACACGCUACUCAUUAUCGAGCCAUUUGCUGAAGAUUCGGGCCGUUAUGAGUGUGUUGCCGUAAAUGUAGCCGGUGAGGCACGUUGCGAUGCUGAUUGCAUUGUCCAAUCACCAACUAAGCCAGAUAAGCCCACAACACCGGGCAGCGAGAAGCCACCACAUAUUGUAGAGAAAUUGAAGAGUCAAUCAGUGGAGGAGGGUAGCAAAGUAAUCUUCCGUUGUCGCAUUGAGGGUAAACCCACACCGACAGCACGUUGGUUGCGUGGUGAGAAUAUUGUGAAGCCAUCGCGUUACUUCCAAAUGACACGUCAAAGUGAAUACUAUCAACUGGUGAUUUCCGAGGCCUUCCCCGAGGAUGAGGGCACUUACAAGUGUGUCGCCGAGAAUAAGCUGGGCAGUAUUCAGACCAGCGCUCAAUUGAAGGUGCGUCCAAUUGAGAAUCUCGACGCCCCACCAACCAUUACCGCACUGAAGGAUGUCUCCGUGUCGGAGGGUAUGCCAGCACAAUUCAAGACCACCGUUACCGGUAAAGUGAAGGCCACCAGUGUGCAAUGGUUCCGUGAGGGUUCUCUUAUACCGGAAACCCCUGACUUUCAAAUGAUCUUCGAUGGAAAUAGUGCCGUACUACUUAUUGGAACCACUUAUGAAGAGGAUUCGGGCAUUUUCACUGUACGUGUAACCUCAUCAACUGGACAGGUCGAGUCAUCAGCUAAGUUGACUGUUAAAAGUAAGGAUUGAAUUAAUAAGAAAUUUACAAACAAAAAACAAGCAAACGAAAAGCAAAAAUUAUAGUGAACGAAUAUGCAAAAAACGUUGACGGUCGUAGGCUAAAACCGAAAAAAUCCGAAAGAAAUUCUUAGCUAACCAAUAAAAAAUACUCAAAUUACAAACUAAGAACAACAAUAACCAAACCCGAAAACGUUGCUGAAAAGAAAAAACAAACCCAAAAAGAACUUUCAAAACAAAGUGUUCACUUUAAGUAAUAUGAGACAUAUUUUAAAGAAUACCCGCAAUUACUAGUCGUAAAAAGUUUGAAACAAUAUUAAGAAUAUUUUUCUGCAACCACUUACAUAUAUAAAUAUUAAUAUUUUAUUAUUAUGCAAACGUAAAAUUUAUAAAAAAAAACAUAAAACGAAUUUAAAACUAUUUAUAUAAAAAUUAAAAAACAUUUUUAUUACUAAUUAAUAUAAUAAUAAUAAAAAGUGCGCAAUCGACAAAAAAAAAUAAAAAAUAGCGAAAAUUAAAAUAAAAAACUAAAUUUAAUUUCUUCAAGUAAAAUAUAUUCAUAUAAAAAUUGCUAGAAUAUUUAGUGGAAUUCAAAAGUUGAGCGACACAAACGCGACCACAGAAAGCGCUCAAUUGUGGAAGGCGUGUGUUUAAUAGAUUCCACAUUGUAUUUUCCAUUAAAACACACAAGCAGGCGAGUGAAUGUGCAUACCGUUAUUCAUAUACACACGCGCACACAUAAAAGCGCAGUUGUAUGCUUUUAAUAUAGUGUGGAAUUAGGUAUUAUUUAGCUCAAGUGGUGUAGUACAGGGCGUAUAAGCAACAUUUUACAAUUUUACUCAACAAAUCGAGAUUUUGCACACACACAUGCACAUACACACUAAAUAUCAUGCCACUGCGCGCUUUUCCGACUCUAAAGUAAAAACAAAUGUCUAAUUCUAGCGCGCGCACACACACACACGCACGCAUAAUUCCUUUAUUAAUGUGGAGAUAUUGUGAACCGCUUAUUAGAAAUUUUGAAAAUUUUCAAAUUUUUACUUAGUGCCGUGCGCAAAACGCACAUUCAUUUUAACAAACGAAAACAACAAUAACAAUAAUGAAAUAAAUUAAAAAUACAAAGCGACUGACUACACAAUUUUUCUGUCAUCUACAAUGUUUAAGAACACACAGACCUACUUCGUAGAGACGGACAUGAUUAUGUGUAUAUGUAUGUUUGUAGCUUUCUAUAUACAUAUGUACACACGUACUAAAUAGUGCGCUUUAUUGGUAAUAUGUUGCAAUAUUAGCAAGAUACUUGUGCAUAUGUAGAUAUGUAUGUAUAUUUAUAACGGCAUAUAAUUUUUAACGACACUGCCGACAAUUAUUGAACAUUAUAGUCAAAUGUUUAGUGUCUGGGUAAUAAUUGUAAAUUCCAAUGCAUUAUUGCACUAAGUGUUGCAGUGGCUAUGCGCUUGCAAGUAAAUGCAUAAAUAUAUACGUAUAUAUACACAUAUGUAUAAAUAUAUAAUAUAUAACAAGCCUUUUGAACACACCUGCUUCACGGUGUGCAUUGCUCAAAAAACACCAAAAAAAAUAAUAAUAAUAAAAAGGGGAACAACUGUUUCGUGCGCAAAAUUUAGGUUGUUGCGGCACCCCCUUGCCCUCCUCUCUCGCCACAAACACAAAAAACCGCUGGCUAAGUGUGCAUUAACUACACAUACAUAGUUGCAUGGACUCAUGUACAUCUGUGUGUGCAGCCAUGUACAGUCAUGCAUAAAAAUAUGCGCUCAUAUUGUGGAAACAACAUAAAUUUUGACAUGAAGAAGCGUAACGCGCGCAUUGAAAUUAAAAAUGUAAUGAAUGUUCGCCCGCCUGCUAUUCUUAGCCCAUCCAUUUUGCCGUGUGUACGGCUGCUGAUAGGAAAAUCGUCAAUACAAACAUAUGUAUGUAUGUAUUGUAGGUAUGUGUGUAGCUGAGUGUACACUUAAUAGGGCAAAUCAAUUAUUUAAAAUUUUGUUUUUAAUUUCUUGGUUCUUCUUGAGAAUUUAAAUUUUUUGAAAAUUUUUAAUUUUUAAGAAAAUCAAAUUUUUGGGAAUUUUAAAUGUUAAAUUUUUAAGAACUUUAAAAAUUAAAUUUUUAAGAAUUGUAAUUUUGUUUUUGGAUACUUUAAUUAUUUUUUUUAAAUUCUAUAUAUUUAAUACCUGAUAUUUUUGAGACUUAUUAUUUUUUGAAAAUUUUAAUUUUUUGGAAAAUUUAAUUUUUUAAAUAUUUAUAUUAUUUGCAAAUAUUAUAUUUGUAAAUUUGGAAUUUCUUGACUUUUAUAUUUUAAGAUUUCUAUUUAAAUUUUUGUAAAUCUAAGAAAGAAAUUUCGAUAUAUUUGAAAAACUCAAUUAUUUUUUGGAAUUUUUUUUUUUUUGCAAAUUUCUAUUUUUUGAAUAUCUAUUGUCAUCUAUUUCAAAUGUAUAGAAAUUUUUUAUUUUGAAAAUUUUCUUAUAAUCCACAACAAUAGUUGCAUACUUAUGGAGAUUAGCCUUUUGGUUAUUUUGAAAUUAUGUCGAUUAGUGUAUUGUAUUUUUAGCUGGUGUUCCAUACGCCCCCCGCCAACAGCCCACAACACCUGUUGUUGCCCGACGCGCCGUGUAUUGAAACACUGCCAAACAAAAACGACAAAAAAGACACACGCCGCAGAAUUUUAAGUUGAAAUUUGAAAAAAAUAAAAUAAAAACAAUAAAAGUCAUUAUUUAUCGUUUCGCUGUCGGCUGACAGUACUUUAUUUGUUUUCCAUCAACUUCAAUUUGUUGUUGAAUCUUUUAAAAAUAAAUAAUAUAUUAAUAAAUAAAACGAAAUAGAACAAAGUUAGUAUUUUUUUGCAUGCACUGUGUGGCAAAAAACGGUCGAUAUUUUGUAGAAACCGUGACAAAAAGUAGGAGAUUGUUACUUUUCAAGCAUCUUGUUAUAUUUUAGCGGUUCUUGAGGCAACGAAAGCCCAAACCACUGGUUGGAAAGGCAAUUUAUUUUUUCUUUGUGCUUCCUACGCUCGUCUUCACUGCUGUUCCUGAGCAGCCAGUUGGCUCAGAUUAGCUGCACAUGUCGCAAUAUGCGCCAUAAUGCACCGUUACAACAAAUCACUUUUGGCACUUACCCUAAUGAAUCAUUAUUUGUAUGAUUAGCCGAGUAUAGUUUACAUACGCUACACUUACUAAUCAUUAGUUGGCAUUAGUCGCGCUCAAGCACAUACUGUAUACACAACCUUAUACACAUAGGUUAUUUGAGGAAAAAAAUUUUAAACAAAUAAAUACAAAAACAAAUGAAAUGUUGUUUAAUUCUUUGCCGUUACAUUUGUCAUCGUCAGCAAUAUUCGUCACCGGCACAAACGCUGCUCCUCGGUUGAUUCAUAUCGUGUGUAUAUAAGAUUUGUUAUUUUUAAGUUUUCGCAAUCGAGCCAGCUCACUAUAGACGAUAUAGACGAGUAGAUCAUGUGUUGUUGAUUAUGCGCUCCACUGCCUUGUAUAUUUGUUGCUAUGCGCUGACAAACGAAAAAGAUGAAUUAGUAUUUAAUGGUUUUAAAUUAAAAAUAAAAGCUAAAAAUAAUAAAAAAAAAAUAUAUUACCUAUAAUAAUUAUAAAAACGAAAAAUAAAAUAUUGUUUCAAACUUUGACUAAAGCAGCAAAAUGUUGCGCAGCUAGACUAGUUAAAACUAGUUAAAAAAAAGUAAAAAAACGGUAAAAAAUUUAAAAAAUUUUGAAAAAAUUAAAAAAAAAAAAUUAAUUUUUUAUCCAAAAAAAUCUAAAAGUUGUAGAAAAGUUAAAUGAAAUUCCCUAACGCCUAUUUGUCAACACUGGACUGUCUAUUUUAUUUAUAUAUAUAGGUACAUUAAUUACUAUGCAUUACCUUGCCGCUGUUUAACUCAUAUCAUAUACAUACAUAUCGACCUAUAUACAUUACUUUUUAAAUAUGUAUGUGUAUUUUUAAAUGUUUUUACAGUGUUUUGAAACAACAAUUUAUAUUUUUCUUUGUAUAACUGUACUGUAGUAGUGUUGCAUGAGUUUUUAUAAUUACUUUUUUAACUAAACGCUUCAUACUAAUGCUACUUUUUACUACAAUUGUGCGUUUAUUAAUGAUUUUUUUUUUUUUUUCAAAAUUUUUUGCUUGUUAUUUUGAAAAAAAAAAAUAUAUAUAUAUAUACUUUUUAUUUAUUAUAAAGUUUGAAUACAUUUGUUUUGUUGUUUUUUUGAAUUCAAAAUUUGAAAUAAAAUUAUAAAUUUAAUUAAACUUUUUUAGUUUUCAAAUUUUUUUGCCAACUUUUAAAUUUUUUUUACAUUUAUAUGUUGUGUUUUCUUUCAAAUGCACAUUGUCUUUUCUAUUUUUUCUAUAAAAAAUAUUACUAUUAAAAAUAAAUUUUUUUUAAAAAUAUUUUUCCAAAACAAAUUUUGUUUACACAUUUCAUUUCGUAUUUUGUUGUUUUAUGCAAAAAUUCUUACAAAAAAUUUUAUUCAAAGCGCUUUAUUGCUUUUUACAACUCAAAACUUAAGUGUUGUUGUUUUUUAAGGUAUAAGAAGCGGCUUGGCUUAAAAAAUUAAUUAUAAAAUACUCAUGCGACUAGGCUAUAAGCGCGUUUACUUGAAUGUCAACCACGCCAAUUUAACUAUUUAAUAUGUAUUGUAUGAUUUUCUUGUAAAACGAUAACUUUAAUUGAUAAAUAUUUUUUAUGUUUUACUUAAAAAGAUCAAAAUCGAUGUUAAUUUUUGUUGUUAAGUGUUUUAUUAAAUUAAAUUAAUCACACUCUUAUAUAUAUUUAAAUUUAUAUUUAUAUUGCAUAUAUGCUGUUUGUAUUACUCCUGUAAGCAUAACUAAUAUUAUUUUAAUUGUUGUUUAUGUUUAUAUACACACACUUAUAUAUAUAUUUUUACAUACAUACAAACAUUUAUGUUAUUUAUUUUAAUGAUUUAUGUUUCCUUUUUUUUAUUUUCGAUGAAUUUACGCAAUAAAUCACACAAUACAACAUUGCUAAAAGAAA